rnacentral:snRNA from 1 species
AUACCUUUCUCAGCUUUUUGGCUAAGAUCAAGUGUAGUGUCUGUUUUUUUUAGUUUAAUAUCUGAUAAGUUUAAUAUCUGAUAUGUGGAUCAUCCACAUGAUAUUAAAUUCAUCUUUUUAAUGGGAGGGUUCAGUACAGUGGCUUGCUACCGGAAUCCUCAUGCAUGGGCUGGCGCAACCCAA